UGGGGAAUAUUGGACAAUGGGCGAAAGCCUGAUCCAGCCAUGCCGCGUGUGUGAAGAAGGUCUUCGGAUUGUAAAGCACUUUAAGUUGGGAGGAAGGGCAGUAAGCGAAUACCUUGCUGUUUUGACGUUACCGACAGAAUAAGCACCGGCUAACUCUGUGCCAGCAGCCGCGGUAAUACAGAGGGUGCAAGCGUUAAUCGGAAUUACUGGGCGUAAAGCGCGCGUAGGUGGUUCGUUAAGUUGAAUGUGAAAGCCCCGGGCUCAACCUGGGAACUGCUUCCAAAACUGGCGAGCUAGAAUAGGGCAGAGGGUGGUGAAAUUUCCUGUGUAGCGGUGAAAUGCGUAGAUAUAGGAAGGAACACCAGUGGCGAAGGCGACCACCUGGGCUCAUACUGACACUGAGGUGCGAAAGCGUGGGGAGCAAACAGG
rnacentral:rRNA from 1 species